rnacentral:tRNA from 1 species
GGGGAUUGAGCUUAGCAGCAUAAGCGCCUGCCUGGCAAGCACGAGGUCAUCAGUUCAAUCCUGGUACACCCCC